rnacentral:rRNA from 1 species
UUUGCGGUGUGGGAUGGGCCCGCGGCCUAUCAGCUUGUUGGUGAGGUUACGGCUCACCAAGGCGACGACGGGUAGCCGGCCUGAGAGGGUGUCCGGCCACACUGGGACUGAGAUACGGCCCAGACUCCUACGGGAGGCAGCAGUGGGGAAUAUUGCACAAUGGGCGCAAGCCUGAUGCAGCGACGCCGCGUGAGGGAUGACGGCCUUCGGGUUGUAAACCUCUUUCGCCAGGGACGAAGCGCAAGUGACGGUACCUGGAGAAGAAGCACCGGCCAACUACGUGCCAGCAACCGCGGUAAUACGUAGGGUGCGAGCGUUGUCCGGAAUUACUGGGCGUAAAGAGCUCGUAGGUGGUUUGUCGCGUUGUUCGA